AACGAACGCUGGCGGCAUGCCUAACACAUGCAAGUCGAACGAGACCUUCGGGUCUAGUGGCGCACGGGUGCGUAACGCGUGGGAACCUGCCCUUAGGUUCGGAAUAACUCCCCGAAAGGGGUGCUAAUACCGGAUAAUGUCUUCGGACCAAAGAUUUAUCGCCUUUGGAUGGGCCCGCGUUGGAUUAGCUAGUUGGUAGGGUAAAAGCCUACCAAGGCGACGAUCCAUAGCUGGUCUGAGAGGAUGAUCAGCCACACUGGGACUGAGACACGGCCCAGACUCCUACGGGAGGCAGCAGUGGGGAAUAUUGGACAAUGGGCGAAAGCCUGAUCCAGCACUGCCGCGUGAGUGAUGAAGGCCUUAGGGUUGUAAAGCUCUUUUACCCGGGAUGAUAAUGACAGUACCGGGAGAAUAAGCACCGGCUAACUCCGUG
rnacentral:rRNA from 1 species